AGAAUGAUCUAGACUUGAAUGAUUGCUUAUUUUAGAAUUCCAAUUGCUGGCUUCUUUUACUUUUUCCUUCUUCCUUCUAUCAGUCGAACGGAAACACUCCUGACCUUAUCUUCGUGCCUAUGGUAUUUCAACAACAUGGCGCAUUCAACAUUUUCCUUCCGUAUAUCAGUCAUAAAAACAUAUUGAGCCUGAGCUUUUGUGGUGCUUCAAUACUAACUGUACUUUCUAUCGCCAUUUGGUGGCGAAAAACUCGUGCCAAAAGCUUCACGCAUCCAACUUAUCACAUCUGUUCUACUCCGUUCAUCCAUCAUGCUAACGAAGCAGCUAUCACCAGACUAACCGAAGAAAUCACGGAGCUCUACGAUAUUGACAUUCAUCGUCUGGAACUUAUUCGAAUGGCUAUUCAACAAGAAAUGGAGGCUGGCUUGCUUUCCAACAGUGCGUCUUCCCUCAAAAUGCUUCCAAGUUACAUCAAUCGACUGCCACUCAAUGACAUCAGUACUACUGCUUACGCUCUCGAUAUCGGCGGCACAAACUUGCGGAUCCUCAAGGUUGUUCUAGAGCAAGGUGGUAUCAUUCAAAACAUCUUCACCAACAAAUACUCCAUUCCUCAUGAGCUGAUGGUAGGUAAAGGAGAAGAUUUGAUCAACUUUAUCGCGCAGUGUCUUCUCGAAUCAAUUGAUUCUGAGGACAAAGACGCGCCUCUCGGAUUUACCUUCUCGUUUCCCAUUCGACAAACGUCUAUCAAAAAGGGCUAUCUCAUUGAGUGGACUAAAGGAUUUUCCGCCUCUGGAAUCGUCAACGAAGAUAUCGCUGGGUUGCUGGAAGAAGAACUCGAAAAAUUGAACUUCCCCAUCAAGGUGGUUGCUUUGGUCAACGACACUAUUGGCACACUGAUGACUGGCACCUUUCAAGCACAUGAUGAAAACUGUAUCAUCGGCCUAAUUAUUGGCACAGGAAGUAAUGCGUGUUACCUUGAAGACAUCGAGUUGCUCGAAAAGUGGGUCGACGAAGUGCCAAAUCCUCCCAAUAUGAUCAUCAAUGUCGAGCUAGGCGGCUUCGACUCUCCCACUUAUACUCACUUGUUGCCUACCAAAUUUGAUCUCAUGCUUGACAACAACUCGGUCAACAUCGGAUGUCAGCACUUUGAAAAAAUGAUCUCGGGAAUGUAUCUCGGAGAACUUGUCAGACUUACUCUGAAAAAUUACCAAGACUUAUUUGAAAUUUUCUCUGACAAUUCCGUAAAUGCCCUAGACCGGCCUUACCAAUUGCAAACGCAGCUUUUAUCACAGAUGCAACAGGAUGACUCUCCGGAACUCCACUAUGUAGGAGAUGUACUCAAUAAAUUGGGUAUCACUUGCCCUUCUCUGGCCAUAAGACAAUUUGCUAAGCAUAUCUGCUGUGUUAUUUCCAGGCGGUCUGCACGCCUCGCCGCUGCCGGAGUCGCUGCGAUUGUCGAACACAAAAAACGCGGCAACAUCUUCUCAAUCGUCGCAGUAGAUGGAACCAUAUUCGAAGUCUAUCCAGGUUAUCGCUCUAUCGUCGAAGAAACCAUCAAAGAACUUGGAUAUCCCAAUGUACAACUCAGACUUGUCAAAGAUGGAUCUGGAAACGGUGCGGCCAUCGCCGCAUCGACUAUGAUUAAAAGUACCUAACUGGCUCGUAUUAUAGCAUUCCUACAACAAGGUUCAAUCAAGAAUUCUUUCUGUCCAUUGCAAAAAAAAUACAGCAUACUAUUUGCCCUUUCAGAACUUCCCUUGGUCAUCCUAUAAAUACAUCACUUUUGAACUCAUGCCAACUAUUUGUAUCCUCUUUUUUACACGUCAAAGUCGCAAAUGUCACUUUAUCCCUACCUGGUCUCCCUUUUCGUUCUCGACACUUCUAGACUGUGAUGCAAAAAACAUCUUUUAUUCGCAAGUUCAUUUAUUUCUGACGUUCACUACCAUUUAUUCGCCUAUAAACCUUAAAACCCAAUGCUUGUUCUCAUAAAAAAGAAGUGCCUUGACGCAAGAGACAACAUCUGCAAGAAUGAAAUCAUCGCAUUGUCUCAUACUGUUAUCAUUAAGAGGCAUUUACCUCUUCAAAUUUCUCCUCUACAAAUGAAUCGAAUCUGCGUUAUAUUCCUAGCUGAAAUUUCGUGUUUCUCUGCGUUCAGUUGAUUUAAAAAAAAACAGAAUUCCUGAUUUUCAGUUUAUCGCUAAUAUGACACAAAGGUAGUUUUUCCAAAAAAAAAGAAAAUUUAUUAGGAUACUCUCAUCGCGCCCUUAUGUCUACGGCUGCUUGCUCAUCCAAGCAAGUCCACCCAGGUAUCUCGCUCGAUCAGCUUCCAUCAGAAUUGCUUAUUGGAAUUUUUAAGUAUCUUGAUUUUCGAACCGUCUGGUCUCUAUGCACGAUUAACCAUCGAUUCGAAGAGCUUUCAUACGAGCUUAUAUUUUGGAAGCAUGUCUUGAAAGCUGCCCCAGAUACUCAGGACACCCUUCUUGCUAUCAUUGAGAAAAGAAAAGCUGCUAAGCAAAACACAAUUUUGUCUAAAUUGCGUGCCUCUAUUUACAAGAUAAACUACGCAAAGAUAAUAAGUACUCGGUCUGUCGGCUCUCCUCUGGCUGAAACCAAAAUGCAACUACUAAGGAAGAAACUUAUUUCUCUCGCAUCAAAAAGCACAAGCGAUAUAGAAAAACUUGCUUUGACCUCCACUUGUAUUGAAUUUUUAGCAAAACAACUGCAAAACAUAACAUACAUACCUGUCAAAGUUGCAUUUUUGGGAGACCGCUCAAUAAGAAAAACGUCAAGUAUAUACAAACUUAUUUAUACAAACUCUGAAGCAUUCGAUGAAUCUCAAAUGAACAUAUCCUAUUGCGACCCUUUGGGAACCAAUCUGUUCAACUUUAUAGAAGAUAGUCUUGAGCGCCCCCUGCGCGUGACGAUAUUUGAUCCACCUGGCGAUAAUAUGACCGCUGUCAAAAGAAGUCUUCAUGGAGUCGAUGCUGUACUUAUUGGCUUCUCGUUCGAUAACAUCGCAUCAGCUGAGUCCGUAAAAAUAAAAUGGAUUCCAUUAGUCCGAAAAUUUCAGCCAGCAGUCCCUAUCGUAGUAAUAGGACUCACGUUAGAAUUGACGGCAAACCCUAAUUUCAACACUAUUAAAGAAGAGUUGCACAGAAAACUCGACAACAUCCGGUACAUUAUUCACCUGGGCUCAUUUUCUAAGCUCUACUACUUGAUAUGGGGAUCAAGCCAGUGCAAGCUCGUCUUAUAAACCGUCCGAUGAAUUCUAUCACCCCUAUCAAAUGUUCUCGUACAGUAAUAACGGACAAAUAUUUAUUAUGCCCGUUCCAGCUCCUUAAAUUAGAUAGAGAAGCUCUGAAAGCCGCUCAGACUUCAUGAUGCGACGUGUCAAGUACACUCGGGGCAUCUACUUUUCAACGGAAUCGGCCCUUUCUAGUUUAGACAUAUAGAUGUGCAAUCAUCGUCCAAAAAUUUUAAUAUUUGUGUAACUACAAACUUUCCUCAUGUCGCAGUUUUCUCUGCUGAAAAAACAAAAAUCCUUUCACAAGGCGAUUCACGUGUUACGGAAUCACGGAAGCCCAAUCCCAGACAUUCCCUUUUCACAUCUGAAUCAAAAACAGCUAGAAAGAGUUUUCAUGUACAUCUAGAUUAAAAACAGCUGGACCUGACUAUGAAAGCCUAUUUGCUUUUUUCUGAUUCAUCUUCUUCUAAAAAAAUUGCGCAACCAGACACCGUGUUGUGUGUUUACACUUCCGUCUAGGAAAAAAGGGAUCUACGUCAACCAAGCAAAAAAGAUUCCCGCUUCUUCCAAGGCAAGCUCUUAGAAGGACAAAGCUUGCCGCGCCAACAUUCACUCGGCCAAAAAUUAAAAAUUUUAGCGAGAAUUGUUUUUUUACCUCGGCUUCAGCACAAACUUCUAAGCAUGUACAAGAUUCUGCUA